AGCUCCAAUAGCGUAUACGGUCAGUGUUGCAGUUAAAAAGCUCGUAGUUGGAUAUAAAAGAGAGAGCUAUUUAUAUUUUUAUAUAUUUAGUUACUAAUCUUAAAUUGAUAUAGGAAACAUCUUUUAGUAGAUGGUUAUAUUGAAAUAUAUAACUCUAGUGAUUUCCAUAUCUAUAUUACUUUGAAUAAAUUAGAGUGUUUAAAACAAACGUACUUACUUUUUGUUUGUAUAGAUUAGCAUGGGAUAAUAAAAAAUGAUUUCUACAUUGGACUUUUUUCUUGUAUGGUUUAACUUGUAUCGAACUUUGUAGAAAUAAUGAUUAAUAGGAAUGGUUGGGGGUAUUCGUAUUGAAAUGUCAGAGGUGAAAUUCAUGGAUUUUUUCAAGAGGAACAUCAGCGAA
rnacentral:rRNA from 1 species